GUCGAGAGGCUUCGGCAAUGGGGGCAACCCUGACCGAGCGACGCCGCGUGGGGGAUGAAGGCCCUUGGGUUGUAAACCCCUUUUGUUCGGGAAGAAAUGCGAUCAGGUGAAUAAUCUGGUCGUUUGACGGUACCGGACGAAUAAGCUCCGGCUAACUCCGUGCCAGCAGCCGCGGUAACACGGGGGGAGCAAGCGUUGUUCGGAAUCACUGGGCGUAAAGGGCGUGUAGGCGGUCAGGUAAGUGAGACGUGAAAUGCCUCGGCUCACCCGAGGAGCGGCGUCUCAUACUGCUUGGCUUGAGUACGGGAGAGGAUGUGGGAAUUCCUGGUGUAGCGGUGAAAUGCGUAGAUAUCAGGAGGAACACCGGUGGCGAAGGCGCACAUCUGGCCCGAUACUGACGCUGAGGCGCGAAAGCUAGGGGAGCAAACGGGAUUAGAAACCCCGGUAGUCC
rnacentral:rRNA from 1 species